rnacentral:tRNA from 1 species
ACGCCUGUAGCUCAAUUGGUAGAGCGACGGUCUCCAAAAUCGUAGGCUGGGGGUUCGACUCCCUCCGGGCGUGCCA